CUUAUCAAGAGUGACGGAGGAAACAGGUCCUAUGAUGUCCGGCAACCUUCUGCUUACGUGCGGAAAGGUGCUAAUUCCUGCGGUUUUAUCCGGCAGAUGAGG
rnacentral:ncRNA from 1 species